CGUUGUGAUGUCAACCUCACUGGACCAUUAUUGCAAUAUACGAAUGCCUUUAGAUGCCCCGCAUCGAGGAAGAGACCCCAAUCGAGAAAUCCGCAGAGAAGGACUGAACGCU
rnacentral:sRNA from 2 species